GGGAGAACAGUUAUGGAAGUUUAGAAACUUAAAAAUACUUACAUAUUAAUUAGCUUGUUAGAGUUCACAUUUUCAAAUAUCAAUCCACAUCAUAACUGCAUAAAAACUUAAUAAGCCAUAAAAUUUUCAUGAAUAAGUAAAACUAUUCUUUAAUUCAACAGAAAUAAAAAUUCUUAAGUAUCUGGCUAUCUUCUAGAAUUACAGCCCUAUAACAACAUAUAAAAAUGUUUUGGUAACCAAUGGAUAGCAUAUAUAGUGGUGGUCACAUAACAUUAUAAGAGAGCAAAAACUUCCUAUCUAAUAUUUUUACUCUACCUUUUCUUAGAUGCUUACACAAAUAUACUAUUGUGUUCCAAUUGCCUCCAGUUUCAAUUUGUAGCCUAAGAGCAGUAGACUCUACCAUGUGUCCCCAUAUGUGGUUAUAUAUGUGGUUAUACCUUCUAGGUACAAAAUUGCCUGGUGAUUCAUUUCUCAGAACAAGUACCCUUAAAAUUAAAAAAAAAAUUGAAACACAUUUUGCUAAUUUGCCAAGGCUGUUCUCAAACUUGCAAUCGUUCUGCUUUAGCACCUGAGAAGCUGUGAUCACAGGUAUGCCACUGUGCCUGACCAUCCAGAACAUAUCCUCAGUGUUAAGUGAUGCAGGUUUGUAUGUAAAAUAUAGCAGCAUUUUGAGGGCUAUCUGGUGUUCUUUUUAUUCUCUGUAAUUAAGAAUAUAUUUUACAUUAUCAUCUAAUUGCUUAUAUUGUGUGUGAAUGUGUUUUUAUUAGUUUGAAAAAUGUGAAAUUACAGAACUGGCAUGUAGCUCAGUGAAAGAACACUUGCCUAUCAUGUGCAAGGCUGAGUUUGAUCCACAGUACUGCAAAACAAUAACAAACAUAUAUGAAAUUACAACUGUUCAACUUUUUCUAUUGAAAAGCUAGUAUGAGCAGGGCAUUUGUGUGUACCUAUAGUCCCAGCUACUUGUGAUGCUGAAGAAGAGGAUUGCUUAAGCCCAGUAGCUCAAUACCAGCCCGGGCAACAUAGCAGAUCCCAUCUCAAAAAACAACAAUACAAUAAAAAUAGCAACAUGGAAUUAUCUUUUUUGACCUUCAAAUAUAAUUGUAUAUGCAGAUAUGUAUAUAAAAUGAAAGUUUAAUAAAGCAUUACCCACCCUUCCUACAUGGAAUUACUCUGAUAUUUUUUUAUUGUAUUCUAGUCAUUUUUUAAAAUUGUGCUUGCUCCACUACAUUUUUCAUGAUCUACAUGUAGG
rnacentral:lncRNA from 1 species